CGAAGAAAAAAAGCCAUAUAAAUAUUAGAGUAUAAAACUUGCGUGAGACACAGGAAGAGGGUGGGGUGGGAGCUACGUGACUAUGCGAAGAGAAGCGCUUAUAGGAGAAGUCAGUACGGGGGAGGGGGUCGCCUUAGCGCGUGGACACAGCACAAAACACAACACGGGCCGCCGCGGGCAGAUCAAGGACAGACGGCUGCGCGGAGCCCGCCGCCCGCUGCCCACCCGCCAUCACGUAAAAGCACACCGCACUACACUACUGGCUAUUCUACACCAGCCGAAAGAGGGAGGGGGCGCUACACUACUGUAAGGGCAGGUCUGGGGUUCUCUGGCAGCCCCGCUGGAUGGCCGGGGACCCAGGGGCAGAAGGGGGUGGGAGAAGAAGGUCUAUGCACAAGGAGGCACUGGGGCUCCGCUGACCCUUCCACCAGUGGCACCUCUGGAGUACCCAGCACCCACAGAGGCCCCUCUGACCUCUCAAGGGGACCUGGUCCUAAACCUGCUUCGAGCUUCCUUGGACUGAAAUGCCAGUUUAAUCCAUUGGUCCUGUUAGCUCAGCCCAAAGCUGGCUGCCUGGGCUGAGCCCUAUUAUGUAGUGGGAAGGGUCCAGCCUAGUUAUUGGUUUAUGGCUGGAAUCUGGAGGAUGUUGUCAGUCCCCUGAGGACAUACAGAGCCUCCUCCAAGGCCUUGAUAACUUGAUGUGUCAAGCUUUGUCCAUGCCCCCACCAUCCACAUCCACACACUUCCCUUCCUUAUCUUACCACCCCAUACUGUCUUGGAACAUGCAGUGGAGUCUCUUGUUUGAGGAGGAGGUGGGGGAAGUCAAGGCAUGCAGUGGAAACGUCAAACAAUGAAAAACAAAACAGAAGACUGGUCCCCAGGGCGUUGGGAAGAGGCUUGGUAGCAAAAUGCCCUCCCUAAAUCCAGCAAGCAUCAGUACCAUGGGGAUGGUGAUCAUGUCCUCCAAAACUUGAGCAUUGAUCUUGGGCUCUGGAAGGAGGUGAAGGGGCUGGCACCAAACCAUGCUUUGGGGGAAGAUUGAGAAUCUUCUACAAUUACUUUACACCGUGUUGAGAGAGAUCCUCGGUCUUUUGCUUCUAUGUUUAUCGUAUAUCUUUCUACUUCUUCAAAAUCCAAAGGCUGCUGAGUUAGAAUGUUUCCUGUAGUGUAAUCCAGAGAGAACACGUGCUGAGCUUUGUCAGCCACACCAAAGAAGGAAUAAGUGAUCUCUGAGUUGAUGCCCUCGUCCUGGUCAGUGGCCUUCACUCUCAGGAUGGAGGUGCCUGGAGGCACGUCUUCCCGAAGGCUAACCCUGUACACGUCCUGGCUGAACACUGGGGGGUUGUCAUUGGCAUCUAUUACCAGGAUUCUUAUCUGAGCAGUACCGCUUCGGGGAGGGUCCCCACCAUCUAAGGCGGUCAGUACCAAGUGGUGAGCGCUCUGCGUUUCUCGGUCCAGAGUCUUCUGCAAUACUAAUUCUGGAUAUUUGCCACCAUCAGGAUUGUCUUUCUCCACCAAUGAGAAAUACUCGUUAGGACUUAGUUGGUAUUUGCUCAGCGAAUUCAUACUAAUAUCAGGAUCUUCUGCAGACUCAAGAAUUGUUCCCAUCCCCAGGCUGACGGAUUCACUGAUUUCUAAGUUUAUUUCAUCUUUCCGGAAUUGAGGGGCGUGGUCAUUAACAUCCUCAAUCACCACAAUGACAUGAAAAAUAUUUAA
rnacentral:lncRNA from 1 species